GACGAACGCUGGCGGCGUGCUUAACACAUGCAAGUCGAACGGUGAAGCGCCUUCCUUUUUGGUGGGUGUGGAUGAGUGGCGAACGGGUGAGUAACACGUGAGUAACCUGCCCCCUUCUUCUGGAUAACCGCAUGAAAGUGUGGCUAAUACGGGAUAUUCUGGGUCUGUCGCAUGAUGGGUCUGGGAAAGAUAUUGUUUCGGUGGGGGAUGGGCUCGCGGCCUAUCAGCUUGUUGGUGGGUGAUGGCCUACCAAGGCGGUGACGGGUAGCCGGCCUGAGAGGGUGGACGGUCACACUGGGACUGAGACACGGCCCAGACUCCUACGGGAGGCAGCAGUGGGGAAUAUUGCACAAUGGGCGCAAGCCUGAUGCAGCGACGCCGCGUGAGGGAUGGAGGCCUUCGGGUUGUGAACCUCUUUCGCCAGUGAAGCAGGCCUGCCUCGUUUGUGGGUGGGUUGACGGUAGCUGGAUAAGAAGCGCCGGCUAACUACGUG
rnacentral:rRNA from 1 species